rnacentral:rRNA from 1 species
GAUGAACGCUGGCGGCGUGCCUAAUACAUGCAAGUCGAGCGAACGGACGAGAAGCUUGCUUCUCUGACGUUAGCGGCGGACGGGUGAGUAACACGUGGAUAACCUACCUAUAAGACUGGGAUAACUUCGGGAAACCGGAGCUAAUACCGGAUAAUAUUUUGAACCGCAUGGUUCAAUAGUGAAAGACGGUCUUGCUGUCACUUAUAGAUGGAUCCGCGCUGCAUUAGCUAGUUGGUAAGGUAACGGCUUACCAAGGCAACGAUGCGUAGCCGACCUGAGAGGGUGAUCGGCCACACUGGAACUGAGACACGGUCCAGACUCCUACGGGAGGCAGCAGUAGGGAAUCUUCCGCAAUGGGCGAAAGCCUGACGGAGCAACGCCGCGUGAGUGAUGAAGGUCUUCGGAUCGUAAAACUCUGUUAUUAGGGAAGAACAAAUGUGUAAGUAACUAUGCACAUCUUGACGGUACCUAAUCAGAAAGCCACGGCUAACUACGUG